UUGAAAGGGAAACGAUUGAAGUCAGUCGUACCUGCGGGUAAUCAGCCUUUUGGGCAUGAUUCUGUGGAGCGUGAGGAGUUAAACGCCUUCAUGCCUGCAUAUUCGUGUACAUUGGGUGUACUUGCCUGUGUGGUUAGUUAACAUCAAUUUUGGUUAUCAUAAAAUGGUUGGAGGAAUGUAGCUUCGAUUUCGAUUGAAGUGUUAUAGCCUUCGGCAGAUGUGAUGAUCGGGAUUGAGGAUUGCAACGGAUACCCUUCGGGGCUACCUGUCUGGUCUCUGAUCGUUGCUUUGGUGCCGAAAGCGUGCUUACGGUUAUCAAAGUCGAUGGUCAAUAGGUUGGAACGGGUUAAAUUCGUUAAGGAUGUUGACGUA
rnacentral:rRNA from 1 species